rnacentral:rRNA from 1 species
CCUACGGGAGGCAGCAGUGGGGAAUAUUGCACAAUGGGGGAAACCCUGAUGCAGCGACGCCGCGUGAGCGAUGAAGUAUUUCGGUAUGUAAAGCUCUAUCAGCAGGGAAGAAAAUGACGGUACCUGCCUAAGAAGCCCCGGCUAACUACGUGCCAGCAGCCGCGGUAAUACGUAGGGGGCAAGCGUUAUCCGGAUUUACUGGGUGUAAAGGGAGCGCAGACGGCAGCGCAAGUCUGGAGUGAAAUCCCAGGGCUUAACCAUGGAACUGCUUUGGAAACUGUGCAGCGAGAGUGCAGGAGAGGUAAGCGGAAUUCCUAGGGUAGCGGUGAAAGGCGUAGAUAUUAGGAGGAACACCAGUGGCGAAGGCGGCUUACUGGACUGUAACUGACGUUGAGGCUCGAAAGCGUGGGGAGCAAACAGGAUUAGAUACCCGAGUAGUC